UCCUCGCCGAACCCGAGUGCUCGAGCCUCGCCGCGCGCCAGGCAUCUCCGAGCCCUAACCGCCGGAGCUCUAACCGGCGACCCCGGCGGUUUUCCUCUCUCCCUCGUGCCUAAUCCGUGACCAAGGGAAGAAGUCGACGCCACUCCACCCAGCGCCGCCGGUCCAAAAAACCCUAGCGCCCAGCAGUGCUCGGCAUCUCCUGGCACAACCUGACCUCUCCCUCUCGGUGUGUUGCUGUCGCGUCGCCGCCGGUCGAGCUGUUCUCCUCAGUCCUACUUCUCCGGCCGACUUCUCCUCUCGGACUUGCGAUCCCCUCAUUUCUUUCCUCACCAGCGCACAUCUUCGACCAGGGGCAGAGCCGAGCCCUAGCCUCGCCUUCUUCUGGUUUUCUUGCGUUGUGCCCUAGGUUUUCUCUUGCUGUUGGAUCCGAACAAAACAGUAGUGAGUAUCAGACAGGAGCAAGCAGUGACGAGUUCUUCUUGUGUCUCUGCUUGGUAGUGCCGAAGACAAUACCGAGUUGUGUUUUAGCCGAAUCUUGGAGCUUCUCCGGGUCUCGACAGUAAGUUCUUCAGGAUUUGAGCAGCACUGAGGCAUCGGAAAAAUUUGAGGACCUUGACGCGAGACGAGUAUCUCGACGUCGGAUUUGGACUGAUUGGACUUUUCC